rnacentral:rRNA from 1 species
UGGGGAAUUUUCCGCAAUGGGCGAAAGCCUGACGGAGCAAUACCGCGUGAGGGAAGACGGCUUUUGGGUUGUAAACCUCUUUUCUCUGGGAAGAAGAUCUGACGGUACCAGAGGAAUCAGCAUCGGCUAACUCCGUGCCAGCAGCCGCGGUAAUACGGAGGAUGCAAGCGUUAUCCGGAAUUAUUGGGCGUAAAGGGUCCGCAGGUGGUUUAUCAAGUCUGUUGUCAAAGCGUGGAGCUUAACUCCAUAUCGGUAAUGGAAACUGAGUAACUAGAGUACAGUAGGGGUUGCGGGAAUUCCAGUGUAGCGGUGAAAUGCGUAGAUAUUGGGAAGAACACCAGCGGCGAAAGCGCGCAACUGGGCUGAGACUGACACUGAGGGACGAAAGCUAGGGGAGCGAAAGGGAUUAGAUACCCCUGUAGUCCUAG